CACUCCCUCUGGACUCCUCGGGGAGGUGUGCCAUCAGCGAGGUGAGCUCACCGCACCACUGAGUCCGGACCGCUUGGAAGAGCGUGCACCUGUGUGGUUCAGGGUCACAGGUAGAGGCGGAGCUCAAACAUUGCCAACCAGUAUAAAAGGCUGAUUCUGGGUGAAGAGCAAAAAAGGUAAAAGAAGGGAAGAACUACGGAAAUGAGGAAGAAAGGAGGAGGCAAGAUUUCUCGCCAAUUCUGAGGAGAUGGCCCAGCAGGAGUACAGAAUUCCAGUGGACUCACUGAGUUCAUCGAAACUCUGAGUGUAAGCCGAGCGUGUUGUGUCUACUGCUGUCAGCCCCAAGAGGCCAGGCUCUUCCCUAGAACCAGAAGAUGGUUCCAACGCAGAAGACACACAAUGAUGUUCUAAAAAACACAGUGACCCAGAGAAUCUCUCAUAUCCUUUCUUUUUUUUUUUUCUUACUUCCCUGAAUUAGCCAACCACCUACUCUAAAAAUGAUGACAUAGAGGGAAAGGGAAAAAUAGGUCAACCCAUUGAUUCUUUUCCUGUCAGUCUUUCUCGUCCAUCAGGAAGCCAAAGGUAGAGACUGUUGGUAAGAAUGUG